GACGAACGCUGGCGGCGUGCUUAACACAUGCAAGUCGAACGGAAAGGCCCUGCUUUUGUGGGGUGCUCGAGUGGUGAACGGGUGAGUAACACGUGAGUAACCUGCCCUUGACUUUGGGAUAACUUCAGGAAACUGGGGCUAAUACCGGAUAGGAGCUCCUGCUGCGUGGUGGGGGUUGGAGAGUGUCGGCGGUUGGGGAUGGACUCGCGGCUUAUCAGCUUGAUGGUGGGGUAGGGGCUUACCAAGGCUUUGACGGGUAGCCGGCCUGAGAGGGUGACCGGCCACAUUGGGACUGAGAUACGGCGCAGACUGCUACGGGAGGCAGCAGGGGGGAAUAUGGCACAAUGGGCGCGAGCCUGAUGCAGCGACGCCGCGUGCGGGAUGACGUCCUUCGGGUUGUAAACCGCUUUCGCCUGUGACGAAGCGUGAGUGACGGUAAUGGGUAAAGAAGCACCGGCUAACUACGUG
rnacentral:rRNA from 1 species